UUACCUCUCCCAAGAGGGUUUUCUCAAUUCUUCCUUUCACGAGGCGAGCAUAAUCCGCAUCGUCAUCCUUGUCUAGCUGUGCUGUGAUAAUUGGAGUGCUGUUGAGAAGCAAAGGAAAAAUGAUGCUACCACAAAGCAGAAGCCUGUCUGAAGACCACUGCUUUGUUAAACCCAAGUACUAUUCAGAAUCAUAGUUACUAGCAACCGCAGUUGACUGAGCAUUUACUUUCAGGAACACCUCCAACUCCUCUGAUCACUAGCCAUUGGCUUCUGUCCUUACUGUUCUGGACAGGAUCCUCAGAAUACACAUUCUUGGGACUAAACUGACCAGCCCAGAAGGGGCAAGCAGAGCUCCGAACACCCUGGAUAUCUACGGUUGUGCUUCUACAACCAACCUUAGAUCAACUAGAAAUCCCGUCAUGAAAUCACCAGGAAUCACAGAAUAUGACCACAGGCCACAUGGCCAACACUUCAGUCAGGCCUAGUUAGGCUGGAAUGAUGACAUCAAAAGGAUGAAUUCUCCACUGACACAUUGCUCCAAUUUUUCUAGUCGUUUUUAACAUUUUCUCUCUUUCAUGUUAUUUGUGGCCAAAGAAAACCAUUGCUUCUAUUUUGAAUGUAUCCAGUUUAGACUUUUUCUUGAGUGGCUUUUUUAAAAACCAGAAUAUGACUAACACAGCAAGCAUGCCACCCAGAGUUUGAGACACUGUCCUAUAAGAAUAUCACACAUAUGCAUGUGACAAGAGGAUCACUGCUUCUCAAGAAACCAGACAGGCAUGUGUGGAACAGGAGGGAAAUGGAAGCAGGCACCUGAUGGCCUUGGAAGCAUUGAUGAUCUCUUUAAUCCGAGGCACGCCCAGGGUGAUGUUCAUGGAGGCCACGCCUGCAAAGUGGAAAGUCUUCAGGGUCAUCUGGGUGCCUGGCUCACCAAUGCUCUGGGCACACAGUGCGCCCACUGCAGAACCUGGCUCCAUCUGUGCCCUGGAAGGCAAGGGUAUGGAUAAGAACACAGGAUGACAAAGAAAAGUCCAGCAAAACUGCUGGGGAGAGGCUUGUGGUUAUCACUUUCAACAGGGAAUACAGAUGCUAUUAGGGUCAGGAAGGAAUUGGCAAUAGGCCAGGGUAUGCUUGUGACAGAGGAAGAGCCUGGUAUAGACCAGAAAUAGGUGCAGACAGGGGAAAGUCAUGCUCCCAGAGGGGGCAGCAGUGCAACUCAAUUCUGCGUGGCUACGGAUGCAGAAGAUCUAAGUGGUCUGCUAACCAAUGGUAUGGAUGGUGAACAGAGCAGAUAGCAUCUGCCGUAUUCAUCAGCAGUUUCCCCAUGGGGAGAAGACAUUAAGAAAUUUCCUUGCAAUUAUUUCCAUAUCUUGGAGCACUCAGCCCAGCAAUUCAUCAGACUCCCUAGAGAAGAUGGGACAGAAUCUGAUCAAGUAACGGCAGUUAAUAAGUGCACUGGUGCAGGGUUUUGUACCCAUGGGGAAACAGGAGGGAUACGUGAGACGUAUGUGGAUGACCGUCAGUCCAAGACAACAGCAUGACUACCUCAUGUACUUGUCCCUGCAGGUUUCCAGAAACUUUUCUACUUGGGUGGGGGUGAUACGGUCCAGCUGGUACAGCACACGGGGCUGGAAGAACACAAGCCAAGCACAGAGUUAAGGGCCGGAGGCACCUGCAAACAGCUUGGGGUUCUAAUUCGUCUUGGAGAGAUAUUACCUCUGUUGUGCCGUUAUCAUUGAUGCCAUAUUUAUCUCUGGUUUUCUUGAUCUUCUCAGAGACCCCCUUAAUGAAUUUUUUUAUUU